rnacentral:rRNA from 1 species
GACGAACGCUGGCGGCGUGCCUAAUACAUGCGAGUAGAACGCUGAAGAGAGGAGCUUGCUCUUCUUGGAUGAGUUGCGAACGGGUGAGUAACGCGUAGGUAACCUGCCUUGUAGCGGGGGAUAACUAUUGGAAACGAUAGCUAAUACCGCAUAACAAUAGGUGACACAUGUCAUUUAUUUGAAAGGGGCAAUUGCUCCACUACAAGAUGGACCUGCGUUGUAUUAGCUAGUAGGUGAGGUAACGGCUCACCUAGGCGACGAUACAUAGCCGACCUGAGAGGGUGAUCGGCCACACUGGGACUGAGACACGGCCCAGACUCCUACGGGAGGCAGCAGUAGGGAAUCUUCGGCAAUGGGGGCAACCCUGACCGAGCAACGCCGCGUGAGUGAAGAAGGUUUUCGGAUCGUAAAGCUCUGUUGUAAGUCAAGAACGAGUGUGAGAGUGGAAAGUUCACACUGUGACGGUAGCUUACCAGAAAGGGACGGCUAACUACGUG